rnacentral:rRNA from 1 species
ACUUAAAUUGAAGAGUUUGAUCAUGGCUCAGAUUGAACGCUGGCGGCAGGCCUAACACAUGCAAGUCGAGCGGUAGCACAGAGAGCUUGCUCUCGGGUGACGAGCGGCGGACGGGU